UACGUAGGAUGCAAGCGUUGUCCGGAAUUAUUGGGCGUAAAGAGCGCGCAAGCGGUCUAUCAAGUCAGAUGUGAAAUAUCCCGGCUUAACCGGGAGGGGUCAUUUGAAACUGGUAGACUAGAGUACAGCAGAGGAUAGUGGAAUUCCCGGUGUAGUGGUGAAAUGCGUAGAUAUCGGGAGGAACACCAGUGGCGAAGGCGGCUAUCUGGGCUGAAACUGACGCUGAGGCGCGAAGGCUAGGGGAGCAAACAGG
rnacentral:rRNA from 1 species